CCUAUGGGGGGCAGCAGGCGCGAAAACUUUACAAUGCAGGAAACUGUGAUAAGGGAACCCCGAGUGCCUGUAUGGACAGGCUGUUCAGGUGCGCAAAAAACACCUGGAGAAAGGGCCGGGCAAGACCGGUGCCAGCCGCCGCGGUAAUACCGGCGGCUCGAGUGGUGGCCACUAUUACUGGGCUUAAAGCGUCCGUAGCUGGGUAGUUAAGUCUCUGGGGAAAUCUUUCGGCUCAACCGAAAGGCGUCUCAGGGAUACUGGCUACCUUGGGAUCGGGAGAGGUGAGAGGUACUCUGGGGGUAGGAGUGAAAUCCUGUUAUCCUCAGGGGACCACCUGUGGCGAAGGCGUCUCACCAGAACGACUCCGACAGUGAGGGACGAAAGCUGGGGGAGCAAACCGGAUUAGAUACCCCCGUAGUCC
rnacentral:rRNA from 1 species